rnacentral:tRNA from 1 species
GGUGGCUCAAUGGUAGGGUGUUUGCCUUUUGUGCAUGAGGCCCUGAGUUCGAUUCCUCAGCACCA